rnacentral:rRNA from 1 species
GACGAACGCUGGCGGCGUGCCUAAUACAUGCAAGUCGAGCGGACAAAAGGGAGCUUGCUCCCGGAAGUCAGCGGCGGACGGGUGAGUAACACGUGGGCAACCUGCCUGUAAGACUGGGAUAACUUCGGGAAACCGGAGCUAAUACCGGAUAGGUUCUUCCUCCGCAUGGGGGAAGAUGGAAAGACGGUUUCGGCUGUCACUUACAGAUGGGCCCGCGGCGCAUUAGCUAGUUGGGGGGGUAAUGGCCCACCAAGGCGACGAUGCGUAGCCGACCUGGGAGGGUGAUCGGCCACACUGGGACUGAGACACGGCCCAGACUCCUACGGGAGGCAGCAGUAGGGAAGCUUCCGCAAUGGACGAAAGUCUGACGGAGCAACGCCGCGUGAGCGAAGAAGGCCUUCGGGUCGUAAAGCUCUGUUGUUAGGGAAGAACAAGUGCCAGAGUAACUGCUGGCACCUUGACGGAACCUGACCAGAAAGCCACGGCUAACUACGUGCCAGCCGCCGCAGUAA